GACGAACGCUGGCGGCGUGCUUAACACAUGCAAGUCGAACGGUAAGGCUCCAGCUUGCUGGGGUACACGAGUGGCGAACGGGUGAGUAACACGUGGGCGACCUGCCCUGCACUUCGGGAUAAGCCUGGGAAACUGGGUCUAAUACCGGAUAGGACCGCACCGUGAGGGUGUGGUGGAAAGUUUUUUCGGUGUGGGAUGGGCCCGCGGCCUAUCAGCUUGUUGGUGGGGUAAUGGCCUACCAAGGCGGCGACGGGUAGCCGGCCUGAGAGGGUGGACGGCCACAUUGGGACUGAGACACGGCCCAGACUCCUACGGGAGGCAGCAGUGGGGAAUAUUGCACAAUGGGCGGAAGCCUGAUGCAGCGACGCCGCGUGGGGGAUGACGGCCUUCGGGUUGUAAACUCCUUUCACCAUCGACGAAGGGUUUCUGACGGUAGAUGGAGAAGAAGCACCGGCUAACUACGUGCCAGCAGCCGCGGUAAUACGUAGGGUGCGAGCGUUGUCCGGAAUUGCUGGGCGUAAAGAGCUCGUAGGUGGUUUGUCGCGUCGUCUGUGAAAUUCCGGGGCUUAACUCCGGGCGUGCAGGCGAUACGGGCAUAACUUGAGUACUGUAGGGGAGACUGGAAUUCCUGGUGUAGCGGUGAAAUGCGCAGAUAUCAGGAGGAACACCGGUGGCGAAGGCGGGUCUCUGGGCAGUAACUGACGCUGAGGAGCGAAAGCAUGGGGAGCGAACAGGAUUAGAUACCCUGGUAGUCCAUGCCGUAAACGGUGGGCGCUAGGUGUGGGUUUCCUUCCACGGGAUCCGUGCCGUAGCUAACGCAUUAAGCGCCCCGCCUGGGGAGUACGGCCGCAAGGCUAAAACUCAAAGGAAUUGACGGGGGCCCGCACAAGCGGCGGAGCAUGUGGAUUAAUUCGAUGCAACGCGAAGAACCUUACCUGGGCUUGACAUAUACAGGAUCGCGCCAGAGAUGGUGUUUCCCUUGUGGCUUGUAUACAGGUGGUGCAUGGUUGUCGUCAGCUCGUGUCGUGAGAUGUUGGGUUAAGUCCCGCAACGAGCGCAACCCUUGUCUUAUGUUGCCAGCACGUUGUGGUGGGGACUCGUAAGAAACUGCCGGGGUUAACUCGGAGGAAGGUGGGGAUGACGUCAAAUCAUCAUGCCCCUUAUGUCCAGGGCUUCACACACGCUACAAUGGUCGGUACAGUGGGUUGCCAGUCCGUGAGGGCGAGCUAAUCCCGCAAAGCCGGUCUCAGUUCGGAUCGGGGUCUGCAACUCGACCCCGUGAAGUCGGAGUCGCUAGUAAUCGCAGAUCAGCAACGCUGCGGUGAAUACGUUCCCGGGCCU
rnacentral:rRNA from 1 species